rnacentral:rRNA from 1 species
GGACUACAGGGGUAUCUAAUCCCGUUGGCUCCCCUGGCUUUCGCCCCUCAGCGUCAGGCCACCUCCAGGAGCGUGCCUUCGCCUUUGGUGUUCCUCCGGAUCUCUACGCAUUUCACCGCUCCACCCGGAAUUCCCGCUCCCUCUCGGCGCCUCAAGUCCUCCCGUUUUCUGACCGCUCUGCCAGGUGAGCCGGCAGCUGUCAGCCAGAACGCGAAGGACCGCCUACAGGCCCUUUACGCCCAGUAACUCCGGACAACGCUCGCCCCCUACGUAUUACCGCGGCUGCUGGCAC